CCUACGGGAGGCAGCAGUAGGGAAUCUUUCACAAUGGGCGAAAGCCUGAUGGAUCAACGCCGCGUGCAGGAUGAAGGCCUUCGGGUUGUAAACUGCUUUUAUAAGCGAGAAAUAUGAUGGUAACUUAUGAAUAAGGAUCGGCUAACUACGUGCCAGCAGCCGCGGUCAUACGUAGGAUCCGAGCAUUAUCCGGGGUGACUGGGUGUAAAGAGUUGCGUAGGUGGCAUAAUAAGUAGCUAGUGAAAUCUGGUGGCUCAACCAUUCAGACUAUUAGCUAAACUGUUAAGCUCGAGACCGUUAGGGGUAACUGGAAUUUCUAGUGUAGGAGUGAAAUCCGUAGAUAUUAGAAGGAACACCAAUAGCGUAGGCAGGUUGCUGGGACGGUUCUGACACUAAGGCACGAAAGCGUAGGGAGCAAACGGGAUUAGAUACCCGUGUAGUC
rnacentral:rRNA from 1 species